rnacentral:misc_RNA from 1 species
GUGAGCGCCUUUUUCUUCAUGGGGUUUUUCUCUGUUUACAUUCGUCAGUGCUCCGACCGCAGAUUAAGAGGUAGCUUGAACCCCGCUGCCACCCAAAUCUUUGGUGGAGGCCGGUGGUCUCGGAGGGGGCAGCAGGGGCUUGACGCUGCAGUAAUCGAGACAUUCCCUACCUUCCAUUACUCCACAGUCAAAGGCCACAAAAUUGGCAAGGGUUCAC